AAGAGGUACUCUAAUGGGGAAUGGCCCUCUCAUUUCAGCAUCACUGACCACGAAGGGUGACUGGCUCCUUCUUCUGCACAUAAUUCCCCAUGCACAUUCCAGAGCAUCCAAGAGAGCCUCCACAUCUUCAUAGCAACUAGAUUCCUGCUGUACCAUCACUGUUGCACAUCAAGGUCAGAAAACAGAGAAAUGCAGAGAACAAAGUGAGCCCCCCUUUUAAAGCAUGGAAUUGGAGUCUCAAAGUGCAGCCAUCCAGCCUGGAUAAACAACAACCUUUUGCACAGGAAUUUCCUUCUUGCAGUCCAACGUACCUCAGAAAAUGACACUGAACAGCUCAGAAUCUCUCUGAGGUGACAGUAUGGUCACCCAUCUGUAUCUUGC